rnacentral:rRNA from 1 species
GCAACCUUCCCAUAACUGGUGAAUAGCCUUUCGAAAGAGAGAUUAAUACACCGUGACAUAAUGAAGAGGCAUCUUCUUAUUAUUAUAGGCAGCAAUGUCGGUUUUGGAUGGGCGUGCGCCUGAUUAGGUAGUUGGCGGGGUAACGGCCCACCAAGCCUGCGAUCAGUAACUGGUGUGAGAGCACGACCAGUCACACGGGCACUGAGACACGGGCCCG